rnacentral:piRNA from 1 species
UUGGCAUCGGCAAUAGUGUCUGCGGGUGGU